rnacentral:lncRNA from 1 species
UUAAAGUCCGUGGUCUAGCUUACUCACUAUUGGAUACUUCCUCGGCGAUUUGGGGUAUAUGAGGGUUGGACUGAAAUGAUUAUUUAUGGUAAUCGGUUUGGUGAUAUUUCCCGCGACGUAUGGUUGGAUAUUGAUUCUUAGCUACAGUACCCGGUUAAAGUCCGUGGUCUAGCUUACUCACUAUUGGAUACUUCCUCGGCGAUUUGGGGUAUAUGAGGGUCGGACUGAAAUGAUUAUUUAUGGUAAUCGGUUUGGUGAUAUUUCCCGCGACGUAUGGUUGGAUAUUGAUUCUUAGCUACAGUACCCGGUUAAAGUCCGUGGUCUAGCUUACUCACUAUUGGAUACUUCCUCGGCGAUUUGGGGUAUAUGAGGGUUGGACUGAAAUGAUUAUUUAUGGUAAUCGGUUUGGUGAUAUUUCCCGCGACGUAUGGUUGGAUAUUGAUUCUUAGCUACAGUACCCGGUUAGAGUCCGUGGUCCAGCUUACUUAUGUCCAGGCUUAGCUACAGUACCCGGUUAGAGUCCGUGGUCCAGCUUACUUAUGUCCAGGCUUAGCUACAGUACCCGGUUAGAGUCCGUGGUCCAGCUUACUUAUGUCCAGGCUUAGCUACAGUACCCGGUUAGAGUCCGUGGUCCAGCUUACCUGUGAUCUGGUUUUAGCUACAGUACCCGGUUAGAGUCCGUGGUCCAGCUUACCUGUGAUCUGGUUUUAGCUACAGUACCCGGUUAGAGUCCGUGGUCCAGCUUACCUGUGAUCUGGUUUUAGCUACAGUACCCGGUUAGAGUCCGUGGUCCAGCUUACCUGUGAUCUGGUUUUAGCUACAGUACCCGGUUAGAGUCCGUGGUCCAGCUUACCUGUGAUCUGGUUUUAGCUACAGUACCCGGUUAGAGUCCGUGGUCCAGCUUACCUGUGAUCUGGUUUUAGCUACAGUACCCGGUUAGAGUCCGUGGUCCAGCUUACCUGUGAUCUGGUUUUGGC